rnacentral:rRNA from 1 species
UAGGGAAUCUUCGGCAAUGGGGGCAACCCUGACCGAGCAACGCCGCGUGAGUGAAGAAGGUUUUCGGAUCGUAAAGCUCUGUUGUAAGAGAAGAACGUGUGUGAGAGUGGAAAGUUCACACAGUGACGGUAACUUACCAGAAAGGGACGGCUAACUACGUGCCAGCAGCCGCGGUAAUACGUAGGUCCCGAGCGUUGUCCGGAUUUAUUGGGCGUAAAGCGAGCGCAGGCGGUUUAAUAAGUCUGAAGUUAAAGGCAGUGGCUUAACCAUUGUUCGCUUUGGAAACUGUUAAACUUGAGUGCAGAAGGGGAGAGUGGAAUUCCAUGUGUAGCGGUGAAAUGCGUAGAUAUAUGGAGGAACACCGGUGGCGAAAGCGGCUCUCUGGUCUGUAACUGACGCUGAGGCUCGGAAGCGUGGGGAGCAAACAGG